GGAAAUCCCAAAGUUCUGUAAUCAGGGAUUUCUAGCAGGGCUUAGCAGGGCAAGCUGACAGCGUGAGACCCUGCAGACCAACAUUCCACUCAGAACUCCCAGGACUGGGACUGGACACAGAGGCAGUUGCUGGAGAGAGUUGGUGGACUCUGGAGGAGAGAGAAGCUGUUUUCUCUAGCAGCCAUGAAAUUAGAACGUCUGGAAGGAGUGGCUGAGAAAGGCUCAUUGACCACGUCUCAGAGAUUCUUGAGCAGAUAUUCGUUGGAAAGACUUCGGAGGUCUCUUUGUAAUCUUUGAUUCUGUAGGGAUAGUGUUGUUAUCACUAUUUUACAGAUGAAGAAAGCGCUAUUCAGAGAGGUAAAAUAAUUUGUCCAAAGUCACAAGGUUAGUAACUGAAAUAGAAUAAUAGAUGAGGAGGUGGGAGGGACUUUAGAGGUCAUCUAGUACAACCCCCUCAUUUUAUAAAGGAAGAAACUGAAGAUCGGAAAGGUUAAAUAACUUGCAAAAAGUGUCAGAAGCAAGAGUUGAACCCUAAUUACCUGAUUGUACCACAGUUUUCACAAUACCACAGAAUUUUGUGUCUAGGCCCAGUCUUAAAUACCACCAGACCUUUAAAUUCAUUAAGCAAAAGAUUGUGGGCCUGAAUCUGAUUAGGCAACCUUUAAGGAAAGAGUUUAAGGUGACCCUGAAUGAAAUUUUGAGGGAAUUGUUUAAAUCUGAAUCAAGGUUUUAAAAAAAAGCAGGCAUGAUCUAGAGAUACAAAUGUUUUUUAAAAUAAGAUGAAGUCAUUGUCUUUUAACAAUUUUGGAUUGGCUGGACAUCCAGUUCUGAGUUCUAUGAUUUUAUAGAGAAGUGGAAAACUUGGAAAGGAUUCUAGAAUGAGAAUUAUAAUAAUGGACAAAAGUUUGGAAAAUAUGAUUUAAUUUUGAGGAAAAGCUAAAGGAACUAUGAUGACUCAAGCCUGAAAAUAAAUUUAGUAACAGCUGGGAUUGUGUUAAAAAA
rnacentral:lncRNA from 1 species